GCGGGACUUCCGGCGUUGCCCUGGCUGUAGCUGUGCGGCCGGAGAGACGUCCGCGCAGGCGGCUGCCGCAGCUCAGGGGCGGGGGUCGUCACCGUCGCUUCACCGGCCCGCCCACCUGGGGAAUGGCCGCGCCUCCCCGCGGCUGCGUCCCCCGCUCGCGCCGUGCGGAGGCGGCUCUCUAAUCCUCGGCGGGGGAGUCCGGCCGUCGGAGGGUCUCCGGGGCUGGAGACGGCCGCGCGUCGGUUGCGUGUCCCGCUCGGCGAGUCUCGCGGGGCCGCGCUGCCUGCAGGUUCCGAUGGCCGAGGAGGCGCAGGCUCAGCGGAUCCGGUCACUGCAGGAGCUGGUGCGGUUUGAGGAUGUAGCUGUGUAUUUCUCGCAGGAGGAGUGGCGGCUCCUGAAUGAGACCCAGAGGAGCCUGUACCAUGAAGUGAUGCUGGAGAACUUCGCACUGGUUAGCUCACUGGGUUCCCUGAGUAGUCUGAAGGAUAAGCAGGUGAGGAACUGCAGAGUCCAUUUGUCCGAGAAACCCUUUGUGUGUGGAGAGCCUGAGAAGGAUGACCCAGUCCCCUUAGACCUCAUCAAGCACCAGGCCACCCAUACAGAUGGGAAGCCACACAGCAGCACCGAGCACGGGCAAGCUCUCCCGCUCAGUUCCGAUCGUGAGCAGCAGCACGUGGUGCACGAUGCACAGAGCCCUUUCAAGUGCAGUGAAUGUGGGAAGGUCUUCCGGAAUACCUUUGCUCUCCUUGAGCACCUGAUAAGUCACUCUGGAGGAAGACCCUUCAGAUGCCCAGCAGGCAGAAGAUCCUUCAGAAAGAAUUCAACUUGUGUUAGUCACAGAAAAAUUCAAAUGGGAGAAACACCCCAUGUGUGCAACGAGUGUGGGAAAGCCUUCAGUUACCCCUCUAAACUGAGGAAGCACCAGAAGGUUCACACGGGCGUAAAACCCUUCCAGUGUAGUGAGUGCGGGAAAACCUUCACCCGCAAAGAUGCACUGACUCUGCACCAGAGGGUCCACACGGGAGAAAGGCCGUAUGCGUGCAGCAAGUGUGGGAGAGCCUUCAGUGUCCUGUCCACCCUCAUCCGGCACCGGAAGGUUCACGUUGGAGACAGGCCCUAUGAGUGCAGGGAAUGUGGGAAGCUUUUCAAAUACAACAACAGCUUCAUUCUGCACCAGAGGGUCCACACGGGAGAAAGGCCUUUUGAGUGCAAGCAGUGUGGUAAAACCUACGUGACCCGCUCUGGCUUGUAUCAGCACUGGAAGCUGCACACUGGGGAGCGGCCCUAUGAGUGCAGCCUGUGUGGAAAAACCUUCACGACCAGGUCCUACCGCAAUCGCCACCAGCAGUUCCACACGGAAGAGAGGUCCUACAAAUGUACAGCAUGUGGGAAAGCCUUCAAACAUAGUUCUACCCUCCUUCAGCACACCAAAGUCCACACUGGAGAAAGGCUUUAGAGCAGGGCAUGUGGGAGAGCCUGUGGCUGACGUCUCCUUCCAGGAGGACAUUGAGAGAGUGCCCUCUGAAAGAAGCUGAACCUUACGCCUUGCUCCCGUGCCUGCCAGGUGUGGGAAGUUUUGGGGAGCUAUGUUGCACUCUCUGGCCUGCCCAAGGUGGUUCCGUCACUGCCAGUUUCUGUGACGGAAGCCGUCCCACCUCCAUCACCUGGCAGUCACCAUGAUGUGUUCAGGGAUGGCAGACCUCAUGCUCCCUUCUUCUAAAUAGGAGAGAAUUGUGACUAGCUGAGCCUAUAGGUGACCUUAUUUUCUCCCCUCAACUGGUCUAGGAGAAAGCAUGACCCAGUCUAAGGUGAGCUGAGCGAGUGUUUGGUGGGGGAAGGGUAGGAGUACUUCUAGGGAAGGUUUGCCAUUAUCACGGAUACACGCAGUAUUUGUCAUGCUGUGGCACAGAACAUGAUUGCUCUGGCAUGUGUAGUGAUAAAGGCUUUAUUGUUUAAGAUACCUUUAAUAUUGGGGGUUCUAAUCCCUUGGUGUUGCGGGAUUGAGAACAGAGUUGGCCUCUGUCACCAGGCUUAGAGGGCCUAGAUUUUGUGUGUUGGAAGGGUGUCUCUGACUUUUUCUUGACCUAGGACAGCAGGGUAGCAAAGACUAGGUGUAGUUAAGGUUGACCUAGUUUGCGCUGGUGUCUGUCCUUGGGAAGGGCCGGUAGGCUGGAUGUCAGGUUGUCCUUCAAGGUCCUGAGAAAGAAGAUCCUGUAGUCCUGGGACAUGGCGUUUGUAAGCCAGCCCCUACCUCUGGUGUCUGUGGGCAGUGUGUUCUUUAUUGUUGUCUAGCUUUUGCUGCCACCCUCUGAAACUCAGUGUGUGGGUCCAGAUUUGAUUUGUUGGACCCUUUGAUUUUAAAGAUUUUGGAAACUAUUUCCCUAAAAGGCAAAUUGUCAGUUCAGCAAAACUUGUAUGUUGGAUGUCACUGUGUCUCUGGUCCCUGAGGAGAACAUUUCCUGGGAGACAUGUCUGGGGUGAAAGCAGGAGAUCCCAGAUGGAGAGGCUUCGGACCAUAGUGAUCAGUUUGUGUAUUGGGAGGCAGCUGCUGCUGCCUCUGCCCAGAGUGAUUCUUGCUCAUUCUAUUGAUGACCACACCCAGACAAGCAGGCUUACAGGCAGGGGAGUUUGGGGCCAGUCUGCUCCAUUUCUCCCCAGCACCAUAAAAAUACAUGCCUACCCCUAGUCUUGCUUUGGUCUUCCUUAGGUGUAAUAAUUAUCUACUGCCAACCUGGGGGUCUGUGUGGGAGCAGAAUUAAAGUCCAACUGAGCCGUGUAGGGUGUAGGGUAGACCCUGGUCAUUACAGCUCAAUCCUUUGUACCAUAUAUGAUUAGCUGUGGUUAGAUAUCAUAAAAUGCCUCCCCUACCCCAGUAUAUGGGUUAUGGGUCCUCUCCACCUCCCAUGAAGCUGCUGCCUUGUGUCCUGCUGGGCUACAUAUAAGCAGCCAACCUUCCCAGGAGAAGGUGGAGGGUAAUGUUUCCCUUGUAGAAGAAAGCUAGAACAAAGCCUGGUGACUGGCCCUUUUACCUGCCUAGGGUGCCAGUUUGGGUGGGGUUAAUUAAUUUUAUCACUUUCAGCUCAGACUUCUUCAAUUAGGGAUUCAAAACUGGAAUUUUGAGAGGACACAAAUGAAAACAAUUCCCUUGAUGUGGAAGAUUUUCAGCUCUAAAGCCAAACUCUAUAAUCAUCAUUACCUAUCAUAAUAAAUUAGCAGCCAUAAUCAUUAAUGACCAGGGUUGGUGGGAAAAGUGGAAAAAAGCCUGAGAAAGACUUUGCUAGUAACUGGAAAAGGAAGUAUAUUCAUUAGUUGCUCAUGCAUCUACUUGUUUGUUCAUCAAGUGCUGAUCAGGCACAUGCCUCAGGCCUGGUCAUCAUAGUAUUCAAGCUGAAGCUGUAAUGAUGGGGCCGUGGGUGUUCAUGUGACCUGAGCUAUGCUAAUGAGAGUCAAAGGACUUGCUGGAGUUAUGAAGAAAGCUGCCAUCUUGGCCCCAGGAGUUCAUGUACCAGAUUUGGGAGUUGUAUCUUCAGCAACUGUCUUUCCUCUUCAAAGACAGAUCAGCCUGCAAAACAAACCAAAACAGACAGGUGAGUGACAGCAAGGCAUUCCUUAGGUUGGACAUUGGGCACAGCAGUUAAGACACUACUUGAGAUGUCUGCAUUUUGUAUCAAAGUAUCUGGUUCCAGUCCUUUCUUCUCUGCUUCCAGUUCUAGCUUCCUGGCAAUGCGAGUUCUUUCUCUUCUGCUUCCAAUUCCAGCUUCCUGCUAAUGUGCACCCUGGGAGGUGGCAGAUAAUGCUUCAAGUGUGUGGGUCCCUGCCACUCACACAGGAAACCUGGAUUGAGUUCCAGGCUCCUGGCUUCAGUGUGGCCCAGCCCCAGUUGUGCGGGCAUUUGUGAAGUGAACAAAAUAAUGUGUCACUUGUUGAGUGAGUGAGUGGCUACUCUGCAUAACCUGUGCUGGGCUGAGACCACAGCCCCAUCAUCAGAGGUAACCGGCAAGGGAGAAAGAAGGGCACCUAGAGAAAGAGGGUUAGCAAAUGCUCUCCCUGUGCUUGAGCAAAUAAAAAUUGCUGCUGUGUGAGGCGGGUGCUGAGGAGUAACAGGUAAAGCCACCAUCUGCAGUGCCAGCAUCCCAUGUGGGCGCCAGCUCCCUGCUAAUGCACCUGGGAAAGCAGAAGAUGGUCCAAGUCCUUGGACCCCUGUACACACAUGGGAGAUCCAGAAGCAGCUCCUGGCUCCUAGCUUUGGUUUGCCUCAGCUCUUGCUGUUGCGGCCAUUUGGGGAGUGAACCAGAGGAUGGAAGAUCUUUCUGUCUGCCUCUGCCUCUCUCUAACUCUGCCUUUCAAAUAAAUAAAUAAAUCGUUAAAAAAAAUUGCUGCUGUGUGCUGGAGACUGAACUGCCGCAGCAGAGAUAAAGUGCACAGGGGACCUCCCUCCCUCCCUCAUGGAGCUGCAUCCUACUGCGCAGACAAGCAUUCCUUAGGAAACCGCUCAGUUGGCAGUCCUAGUAAGAGCUAUGAAUGGGUAUCCUUGCAGGUGUUGACUGAAGCCCUUCUCAAUUCCUUUCCAGCAUUGUCAGAACUCAGCCGGGCCUGUGUGUACAUGUUUUCCUGUUUUCCACUGAACUAUAUGUCUAUCCCUAAUGCCAGUUAAGCAGCUUGCCUCAGGUCCGGCAUUGUGCUAUAGCAGGUUAAGCCUCCACCUGCCACACCAGCAUCCCAUAUGGGUUCCAGGUCAAGUUUCUGGUGCUCCACUUCGAAUCCAGCUCCCUGCUAAUGCUCCUGGGAAAGCAGCAGCAGAUGACUCAAAUGUUUGGGUUACUGCAUCCACGUGGGAGACCCAGAAGCAGCUAUGGGCUCCUGCCUUUGGCCUGACCCAGCCCUGGCUAUUGCAGCCAUUUGAAGAGUGAACCAGUGGACAGAAGAUCUCUCAAUCUGUCUCUCCCUCUUGCUCUAUCUCUCCCUCUCUCUUGAACUCUACCUUUCAAAUAAAUAAAUACAUCUUAAAAAAAAAAAAAAAAAAAAAG